rnacentral:lncRNA from 1 species
UGUUGCGCAUGUGAAUUGAGAUUGGGGAUGUCCAAAAUUUCAAAAAUUACGGAUAUCAUGACAUUAUAAUAAUAUCUAUUAUUUAAACCAUGAGUCAUAAUCUUAUGUAUGUUUGGAGGGGAAAAAAUCAAGACCAUGGAAAGAAAUGGCCAAAGAAUAAAUGAGAACCAUACUACAAACUCCCGGUAUUGAUCGUACAUAUAUUUGUUUAGGAGUCGCUAGGUUUUAAUCAAACAAAAACAAAAAGUCGCGAGGUUGGCGUGGAGGUGCAUUACUCAAUGUACACCACAUGCGAGUAGUAGUGCUAGCUAUUGGCAUAUUGGUAAAAGACUGAACCCUUGAGAAUAAUUAAUGUAGCCUUCGUUUUAAGUAAGUUGGCAUUUGAGUAAGUGCCCCAUGCGCUAGUACUCGGCCAAUCACUUGCAUUUCUCUAUUAAUUGAUGGGUAAGCUUAGAUGAGCAAAUAAGGACCAGAUAUCUCCAAUCACAUGCAAUUCUAUAUUAGUCGUUGGGUAAAGCUUAGAUGAGCAAAUAGGGACAAGAUAUCUCCAUGUUCUUCUGCCCAAAACGGU